CUUCGGGGUGAGUGGCAUACGGGUGAGUAACGCGUGGGAACGUGCCCUUCAGUUCGGAAUAACCCAGGGAAACUUGGGCUAAUACCGGAUACGUGCGAGAGCAGAAAGAUUUAUCGCUGAAGGAUCGGCCCGCGUCUGAUUAGCUAGUUGGUGGGGUAAUGGCCCACCAAGGCGACGAUCAGUAGCUGGUCUGAGAGGAUGAUCAGCCACAUUGGGACUGAGACACGGCCCAAACUCCUACGGGAGGCAGCAGUGGGGAAUAUUGGACAAUGGGCGCAAGCCUGAUCCAGCCAUGCCGCGUGAGUGAUGAAGGCCUUAGGGUUGUAAAGCUCUUUCGUCCGGGACGAUAAUGACGGUACCGGAAGAAGAAGCCCCGGCUAACUUCGUGCCAGCAGCCGCGGUAAUACGAAGGGGGCUAGCGUUGUUCGGAAUCACUGGGCGUAAAGGGCGCGUAGGCGGCUUUAUAAGUCGGGGGUGAAAGCCUGUGGCUCAACCACAGAAUUGCCUUCGAUACUGUAUGGCUUGAGACCGGAAGAGGUUAGUGGAACUGCGAGUGUAGAGGUGAAAUUCGUAGAUAUUCGCAAGAACACCAGUGGCGAA
rnacentral:rRNA from 1 species